rnacentral:rRNA from 1 species
UCCUACGGGGGGCAGCAGUGGGGAAUAUUGCGCAAUGGGCGAAAGCCUGACGCAGCGACGCCGCAUGGGUGAAGAAGCGCCUCGGCGCGUAAAGCCCUGUCAGCAGGGAAGAAAAUGACGGUACCUGAAGAAGAAGCCCCGGCUAACUACGUGCCAGCAGCCGCGGUAAUACGUAGGGGGCAAGCGUUAUCCGGAUUUACUGGGUGUAAAGGGGGCGCAGACGGCGAUGCAAGCCAGGAGUGAAAGCCCGGGGCCCAACCCCGGGACUGCUCUUGGAACUGCGUGGCUAGAGUGCAGGAGGGGCG